rnacentral:misc_RNA from 1 species
GCCGCGUUUCGGAGGCCAAAACUGAGAUGGACUACAAGGCGGACGUGAAAAUCACCGGCCGGCUGGCGAUCCUCGGCGACAUGGUCUUGCGCGCCACAGCGACGCUGAUUCUCCAAGAAUUUACCCGCCGCCUGCACCAAGGGCUUGGCGAACGGGCCUGAUUUUAGUAUGAACAAUUUGAGUCUCGUUGGGUGCAAGAUCUCUCACUGCGUUCGAGAUGACAGAAACCGAGAUCGAGGUGACGUGCGGCGGCAUGGGGUGACAGACAAUUCCGAUGUCAUUUCGAGCGGAGCGAGAAAUCUUUCUUCAACUGGCAGUGCUGCUUGAGAAAGCAACAGGGAGUUUCGAAUGGCGGAUAAGUACGACGUGAUCGUCGUCGGCGGCGGUUCGGCGGGCUGCGUAGCGGCCGGUCGCCUGUCGGAGGAUCCGAGCCGCAAAGUCUUGUUGCUGGAAGCCGGGCCCGACCCGCAGCCCUUGCCCGAGCUUGUCGCCGACGCGUCCAAGCAGACGCGGCUCUUGCUCGAAUCGGAUUUCGUCGCGAUGUUUCCGACAGAGCGCCAUUUGGACGGCAGCACCUAUUACGCGCUCGCCGGGCGCAUCAUGGGUGGCGGCUCGUCGGUCAACGUCAUGUCGGUGCUGCGGCCGCAGCGCUAUGACUUGGACCAAUGGGUCGCCGCGGGCAAUCCCGACUGGUCUUACGAGCGUUGUUUGCCGUUCAUGAAGAAGAUUGAGUCGGAUCAGGAUUUUCCCGACAGUCCGAUUCACGGCAAGGACGGUCCGCUCUACGUCAAGCGCCACUACACUCUCGACAUGCCGGCGUCGCCGCCGGUGCGCGCGUUUCUCGAUGCGGCUUACGGCAUGGGACUCC